rnacentral:rRNA from 1 species
GCUGGAAUUGCUGUAAUGGCAGGUCAGCAUACUGCCGUGAAUACGUUCCCGGGCCUUGUACACACCGCCCGUCACACCAUGAGAGUUGGGAAUACCCGAAGCCUGUGAGCUAACUUAUAGAGGCAGCAGUCGAAGGUAGAAUCAAUGAUUGGGGUGAAGUCGUAACAAGGUAGC